rnacentral:misc_RNA from 1 species
GUAACAAGGUUUCCGUAGGUGAACCUGCGGAAGGAUCAUUACCGAGUGCGGGCCCUCUGGGUCCAACCUCCCAUCCGUGUCUAUCUGUACCCUGUUGCUUCGGCGUGGCCACGGCCCGCCGGAGACUAACAUUUGAACGCUGUCUGAAGUUUGCAGUCUGAGUUUUUAGUUAAACAAUCGUUAAAACUUUCAACAACGGAUCUCUUGGUUCCGGCAUCGAUGAAGAACGCAGCGAAAUGCGAUAAUUAAUGUGAAUUGCAGAAUUCAGUGAAUCAUCGAGUCUUUGAACGCACAUUGCGCCCCCUGGUAUUCCGGGGGGCAUGCCUGUCCGAGCGUCAUUGCUGCCCUCAAGCACGGCUUGUGUGUUGGGCUUCCGUCCCUGGCAACGGGGACGGGCCCAAAAGGCAGUGGCGGCACCAUGUCUGGUCCUCGAGCGUAUGGGGCUUUGUCACCCGCUCCCGUAGGUCCAGCUGGCAGCUAGCCUCGCAACCAAUCUUUUUAACCAGGUUGACCUCGGAUCA